ensembl:lncRNA
AAAGUUCUGUUUAAAUUAUGACUGAGUGUUGAAAAAAGUAUUUUGUAUUGUCAAAAGCAUGUUGAGAGCUGUAAUUUUGUCUCCUCAAGGAAACAAAUUCUGAAUAGCAAAUUGAAAUUACAGUGUAGAAAAGUUUUCCUCAUAAUGAAAAAACUGUGAUUCUGAAAAGAAAAGAUUGGACUGCCCUGGGAUACAUUUAUAUUAUUCUCUUUCUCUCUUUUUAGAUGACUUGAGUCAUGAAGCCUCUGGAUCAUUUGGGGAUGCGGCCACAUCACCCUCCUCAACCCAUUUGUUUGGCGGCUUCCAUAUGACAGACAGGAAUCCAGCUUCUGUAGUCCAAUCAGAUCCCACAGGCUCGUCAAAGGGUAGCAGGGAACAACCUGCAUUUUCCUCUGUACUUACAUUACUUGCCAGCACAGCCCAAAAGCCUCCCAAACUGUCGUCAAAAGUUGUUGCACGUGGCAAUGAAACACAUCAAUGGCCUUCUAAUGGAUCUUUGGAACGAGUGGAGCCAUUUACUCUCCCAUCGUCUGUGCUGGUCGGCAACCAAUCCAAUAACUCAGAGUUUCAAUUGAUAUCUGAGCUGGAGGCACCUGCAGCCUCUAGAGCUGCAGACCCUGAUUCUAGCAGAUUGAUUUCACCUGAGCAGAAAAACACUGCUGCACCCAAUAGAUCUUCAGCUACAUCUGUGGACACACAACGAGAACGACCAGACAUUGCAACCACUAUUGUAUCUCAACCUACAGUAUUUAACAGCAAUACUGUUACCACAACCAGCAUCCCCUUUACAACAACAACAAACCAGAUUAGCACUACCCAAUCAUCUGCUGCUAAACGACACUCCAAAACACCCAGGACUUCUAUAAGAACUACAACUACACAAUCUCCAAAGACAACACCUAGAAUCCUGUUUGACUCCACCUCACAGAGUGCUAAGUUGGACCCUUCAAAAAGCACUUUAGGAACUCCAAGAGCUGCUGCAACUGAGGCCUCAAUGCUAAGAUGUAACAUCACUGACAAGAUGUGGAUAAAAACAGUGUUGUCCGUACAGUUACGGAGGAGUCGUCUAGACAGUAUUUUGAAGCAGAAUCUCCCUCGAGGGUUUACUCAAGCUCUGAAGAAGGCCUUGAAUGACAGCACGGUUCAGGCUAAGGUUUGCACUUCAUGAAUUUAUAACACAGUCAUCGUUUACAUUUUGUUCUGCAUCAAGUAUGCACCAACACAAAUUACAUUUUGCUUUAAGCAAUGUUUGCUGUCUUGAUAUAACUACCACAAGAUCUACCCUCUAAAUCCGUCCCCUUCCGUCAUUUGUCCUUCUCUUAACGUUAGCAAAUGCAUACUUCACCAGGCUGUAAAAUCCAUGUGAUUGCUCUGAUACUGCAAGAAAAAUAGAAAGCCUUUUCACAUGGUUUAAAACAUUAGCUAUAAUAUAAAUAUUUAUUUAUUGCUGUAUAAAUUUUGCACACAAAUUGUAUCAUUAAGAAUAUCUAUCCCUGGUUAAAAGAUUUGUUUUGCACACAUAAUGGUGUAAUUCACCAGCAGGGGCUAAGCAUCCGUGUUAUAAAUCUUGUUUUCAGCAGCUUUAUUGCUUUAUUUGUGUCUAUUGUUUUCCAUCUUAUCUUUCUCAUUUUAAUAUAUGUUUACUUCAGAUGUGUACCUUAGUGAUAACUGUAUGUCAAUGGAAGCUAGGCUAAUCUGCUAAAUACUGAUACCUAACAAAACCAAACACACAAUCAUUGUCAGCCAAAUCAUUGUAAACCUUAUUAUCGGAGUAGAAAACAAAAUAAAAAUAAACUGGGUGAAAAUGGAAACA